GCUAUCCACCGAGUCACUGGCAGAGCCCCAGCUGGAACCAGCCCAGCCUCUUCCCAGCCUUCAAUCUGAGGUUUUAAAUUAGAGGAAAAGGAAAGAAUUGGACAGUGAAAAAACUUGAAAAGCGGAAGUUGGGUUUGAAGGAGAGAAACGGUUGAUCCUCUGGAAGCCUGGGGCACGCCCUUGCUGAGAGAAGGAGGAAGUUGGUUCACUGACCAAAGCAUCACUGGAAAGAGUCAAAUGCCUGUAGUGACCAGACAGGGUAAAGUGAAGGAUGAUGGACACUUGGUUAUUCAGUGCUUACGUUAACAUCCGUGAACUCAUUUAAUCUUCCCAGUGAUUCUACAGGUUGGGUACUGUUGUAAAGUACCAGUUACAGACCCGACCCAGAACCAGACCUCUACAUCCCAGGAUUCCUGCGGCGAGGGAGGUGACCUUGACCUGCACCAUCCAGACACCCGCAAAGAGACCAGUUCCUGGAAGGAACCACCAUGUCCUCCAAUACUGCUGUCUCCAGCAAUGACUCCUCCUCCUCCUCCUCUUCUUCCUCCUCCUUCUCCUCUUCCUCCCGGCUGCACCUCACCCUGAAGCCCGAGGACCAUGGCACCAUUGUUGGACGUCACUUGAACUUCUCCCUAGAGAACUCGACCAGAAGUAGCCUGGCCAAGCUCCAAGCAGUCUCACCGGCCAGGCUGCUCGACUCCUCCUGCUCCUUGGAGAAGACACUGCAGUGCAGCUGCUCCUUCCACGGGGUCCCCACGCCCUCUGUGCAGUGGUGGGUGGGCGGUGUCCCUGUGGGUGUGAACAGUGUGGAUGGUGGCCUCCAGGUGACUUCCACCACACUUGGUCCCUGGGCCAACAGCACCAUCAGCCUCAGGGGGGAUCCAGAAAUAGUCAGGAGGCUGCACUGUGCGGGCAGGAAUCCGUAUGGAAUCCACACUUCCAGCAUCUUCCUGAUACCAGGGAAGAGCUCCGUUUCCAGCGUGUUCCUGCGAGGGCUGGUCCAGGGCACAGUGUACGGGGCCAUGGCGUCCGCGCUGCUCCUCUUCUGCCUUGUCCUCCUUGCAAUGAAGAUGUUUCGGUGGAGGGCCAAAGAAGCCCUGGCCCGCAGGAGACCAGAGUUGCUGGGGCAGCCAGAAGCACCCAACGUGUUGGAAGCUGCAACCCCACAGGCCUGGGCUGGAGGUAAGUCCCUGUGCCAGGCUGAGCUCAGCCACCAACCUGUGGGGCUGCAGGCCAGGGCCACACUGGCCCAGCAGAACCACCAGGGGCACUUAUUAGGGACCGGUUCCUACCCAGCCCCCACACAGCACCCUUGCGCUGGCAGCAAGCUCUCCAACUCCUUCCAGUGUGACGCCCGCACCAGGGGCUGCGCCAAGGUCCCUCAGAGCAGGGGAGCCCUGUGCUGCCCCUGAUGAGGACCCUCCUCACGGAGGGCGUCAGGCCCAGCCCCCAGCCCUGGGGAAGGCACUGCAGACAGACACAGGACAGUGAAGACUCUCAGCGGGGCUUCAUUACUCUGCUGGGGCUGCCACAAUAGAGCAGCACAGACUGGGAGCCUUCAAACACGGCAGUGAACUUUCCCACAUUCUGGAGACUGGAACUGGAGAUCAAGGUGUGGGCAGGGCCUGCGGGUGCCCCGCUCCUCCCUGCGUCCUCACACGGCCUUCUCCUGUGUAUCUGUGUCCUGACCUGUCUUACAGGGCACAUAGGAUUAAGACCCCCACCUGACCCCACUUUAGUGUGAUUACCUGUGUAAAUCUGUCUCCCCUGAUACAGUGGCACAGUGAGGUUCGGAGGGUUAGGGCUUCAAAAGAGAAGCCAGUUCCACCCACAGGAGAGGAUUAAAGGGCUGAAUGGAUCCCAGCCUGUGUGCGGCCCAGGGAGGGCAGGAGGCUUGCCCAAGGCAGAAGGACAGAGCGUGUGCUUCCCCCACGGCCCAAGGCUCUGGCAGGAGAAGGCAGAGCGUGUGUUGUGAGCUAGAGGGUCACCACGUGUUGGUGCCACCAGUGCCGUCCAGCCUGCACAGACUGCAGAGCAGGAGCAGACUGCAGCCCGAGCUCCAGGCCUGGCUCUCACCAGUUGCUGGACAAACCUCCUAUCCCCCCUCACCUGCCAGGCCCUGGGUGGGGACACAGAGGAGUCAGAGCCAGGUCCUGCCCAUUUGGAACUCCAGGUCCUCAGAGCCCUGGAACUGCCUGGGGGCUGGGGGGGGAGGGCUUGGCAGUGUACCUGAGCUGUGCAGACUCCCAGGGAGGUGACGGCAUUCCCCACACAGCAGGGACUCAGAGCGCCCGGGCAAGGGCAGGACAGACCAUCCCAAUGAGCCAGCUGGCCCUCGUGUAGCCAGAUCACCUGCUGUCUACUCUUAGCAAAGCUCCUGAACACAGUACCAUCAGCUGCGGCCCCAGGGUCAUGUGAGCCCUGGGCCUGUGCACCCUGCGGAUCUCCUCAUUUGUGUCCCUUCACCACGUCUCCCUGUUUCUCCUCGCCCCUGGUAACCACUGUUUUAUUUUCCAUUUCUGUGUUUGACAUUGUUGUUUUAGAUCCUACAGAUGAGUGAAAUCAUGCAGUAUUUGCCUUUUGGUGUCUGGCUUCACGUAAGAGUGUCCCCAGGUUCAUCCAGGACAAAUGGCCAGGUCCCCUCUCUUUUAAAGGCUGUGUAGUAUUCCAGUGUGUGUGUGUGUGUGUGUGUGUGUGUGUGUGUGUGUCCCUUCUUUCUGUCUCUUUCCCUUUCUUGCUCUUCCCUCCCCUCCUGCAUUUGCUCAAUUCCCACCUGACCCCAGGUGCCACACUACACAGGGCACUGCAGGGACCCGGCCCCGAUGGGCCAGCAGCCCCCAGACCAGGACAGACUUACCACGUCAGGAUGCGGGUGGGACCAGGCAUGUGUCAGAGGACACCUGUGUCGCCCUCUAGGCCAGGUCACUUCCGGCUCCUGGAGAAGCUCUGCGGGACAAAGAGGAGAGCCGAGUCCCCAGGGAGCAGCUCCUGCUCUCAUCAGCGGCUCCACCAGCGGAACAGCUCCAGCAGCAGACCCACCCUGAGAUCCACGGCAGAGAUGGGC